rnacentral:lncRNA from 1 species
GUGCCCUACCAACCAGGCAAUCCGGGCCCUAAGAUGAUCCAUAUAUAUAGUUUAAAAUCAUCGUUUUGCUUCAAGUAUAAGGCACAUAAACUGUAGCUUUUUUAUUUUCAUAGCAUAACUUUUUCUGCUAAAGCACAAGUUUAUUAACUUUCAUCCACUCUUUCAAUUGAAACGAGUAAAUAUCGACACGAAAUUCACAAAUUUACAGGUUUGAGAGAGGGCCUCCCUGAUUGAGUGGUCCCGGACUCAACUUGGACGUGGCGGGUUCGAAUUCCGUCAUAAACCUGGAUGAUAUCCGUUUGAUAUCAAUCCUGUAUCUUUAUGAUAUCUUUCUCUUACUUGUACUAUCUGUUCUUCAAGUUGACAUGCUCUUAUAAGUCGUACUUUGUGAUGAGCAUACAAGCCUGGAUAUGCAUUCAGAUAAGUGAAUAAAUACAGACCUAUGUGCUUAAUUCAAAAGAAAGGACAGGGCACAACAAGUUACUAAUUAAAAUCGUAUAGUAAGAAUGAAAGAUACAUUCUGGAUUAAAGUGGGAACUCAACCCACGACCUUUACGCUUUAGAAUGUUUAGCGGAUUGACAAUACUCAGUGGCCAUGAGGACCUCAACCAUUUGUUCAUAGUACAUGCAUAUUAUUUAUUUGGUUUAUUGGAUUUACAUACAUUUGCAGGCAUGUGUUCUCAAUUUAGACUUAUAAACCUUUGUCAAAUAGAAGGAGAGCAAAAAGAUACAUCCAGUGUAACAGCGGGAUUCGAACCCGCUACCUCCACGCUUUGCACAGCUUUUGGCGAGUGAUACCGCUCUGCAAGGGAGGCCCCAGUUCAUACAUAAUCAGGGUUAUGAGCUUAUAUAUACAAAGAAAUGACUUAUAAAUUCUUGUAAAGUGGAAAAUCAAAUAUCACAAAAUAAGAAAGUUCAGUCCAAAAAUACAACCAGGUUACGGCUGGAUUCGAACCCACCAUCUCUAUCAUUCACAACGUUUGGUGGCAGGAAAAUACCAUUAGGACAAAGAGACUCUAUACAUAUGAAAUUUCACUUAUUAAAGCAAAAACCAGCAACCGGAAGUAAUUUCACGCACAGUUUUUUUUAACCUAUAUAAGAGUGCGAUAUUUAGUUUUUCGUCGCCUACGAGUCGAUUUUUUUAAGGCCUCAGUUGUCCAGUUCUAUUACAACGAACGAGUCAAGUUUUUCGGUGUUAAGAACAAAAGUAAAUAAUCUGUCUAUGAUUUGAAGUUUGUGUGCCCUGCAAUUGUGAAGUUUGAUUCGAUCAGAUAUUAAUUCAGAUUACAUGGAAAAUAUUUGAUUUUAUGGAGGAUAUAUCUAGAUAUGCGACUACAAUGAUGAUGGCUGAAAUAUUUGCCUAAAUGCAUGGAAAGACCUACUCUAUUUGGAGAUGCGACUACAAUAAUGACUGGAAAUAUUCGGCUAGAUGUAUAGGUUUAUCUGGAGACGAGACAAUAAAAAUAUUUGGCUGGAUAUACAUCUAAAGUGUAUAUGAAGAAAAGGAUUUUCAUCCAGGUUACAUAGAAAAUGGAAGUGGUUUUAUGGAGAAUAUAUCUGGAGAUGCGACUUCAAUAAUGAUGGUGAAAAUAUUCGGCUAGAUGUUUGGGUUUAUCUGGAGACGAGACAAUGAAAAUAUUUGACUGGAAAUGCAUCUAAAGUGCUUUUAAAGAAAAGGAAUGGCAGAUAGGAACUACUGGUUUCAUGUAUUUCUUCUACGAUAAACUACAUGGCGAUUUAUCUGCUACAUGGCUGUCAUAAUUGCAGCGUUCAGGUCUUCAACAUUUAUUUAUGUUCUAUUGACUGGUCUCGUAUCUUCGGUGCUUUUCAUUGCAAAUUUCCUUGUUAUCUGUAAGAUGUACAGAUUGAUACUAAUACAGAUUUCAUCUAUAAUAAUUUCUCUUGUUUUUGAAAAGUAAAUUAACUAUGUAAAAGUUUAUGAUUGAUAUAAAUACUAGCUUAAAAAAAUUAGAUUUUGGCUUUAAUAUUUAAAAAAACUUUUGCUGGAAUUUAAGGUAUUCGAGAAAGUUUUAGUCUUAAUUUUCUUACGAAGAUUUACUUUUUAAGCCCUCUGCGCAAAAUUUCAAAAUUUCUAGCAAAAUGUUUUAGGUACAUUUCUGUUAAAUGCAAUUUAAUCUGCCAUAUUUCUAUCUUCCCCAAGCACUCAGUUUUCCUAAACUCUAAACUGUUCUCGUCGUUUAACUUUAUUGUAUCAAUCCAUUUUUUUAAAAAACUGUCGCUGCCAUGAUACCAGUAAUUUAAAACAUUUGUACUAGACAUUCACCUUGUACCAAGAAAACUUGUGAACCAUAUUUUUUUGGAAUGCUUAAAAAUUCCGUUAUAAAAAAAGUUUUAAUUCGAACUUUAGUUUUUAGUUUAUUCUUUUACGAGGGGUAAUUUGGUUCAUAUUAGCGUGAAGUAGAAUGGGGCUUUUCAAUCAGGAACUCCUAUACCAAAUAGUCGUAUUAUAGUAUCGGUACUACAAUGCUAGAGUGCUUUAGAAUGAUCUAAGCUUAAAUUUUCUAAAUUUGUAUUUAUUUGGAGCGUAAAUUUUGGCACAAUUUAAUUUUAACAAAAACCUGACGUUCAAACUUCAAAAAGUGACUUAAAUACAAAUUUUUUAAAUUAAAGAGUUAUUGCUAUAUAUAAUUGCUUAAUUUAUGAACGUUGUUUUACAGUAGUUCGCAAACUAUUUAAAUUAACUUUUAGUAUUCAUGCUAGAACAUUCAAAAAUAAAAUCUCUAAACAAAUUCGCAGACAUGUCUCGUUUCUUCUUUAUUGAUGCAUUAAUGGUUUUGUAAUAAAUCCCUUUAACUGAAUUUAGACGGAUGCACACAAACUCUAUACACCAAAAUUGUGA